rnacentral:rRNA from 1 species
AUUGAACGCUGGCGGCAUGCCUUACACAUGCAAGUCGAACGGUAACGCGGGGCAACCUGGUGACGAGUGGCGAACGGGUGAGUAAUGUAUCGGAACGUGCCCAGCCGUGGGGGAUAACUGCUCGAAAGAGCAGCAACUACCGCAUACGACCUGGGGGUGAAAGCGGGGGAUCGCAAGGCAUCGAGCAAUUGGACCGGCCGUCAUCAGAUUAGGUAGUUGGUGGGGUAAAGGCCCACCAAGCCAACGAUCUGUAGCUGGACUGGGAGGACGACCAGUCAGGCUGGGACUGAGACACGGGCCAGACUCCUACUGGAGGCAGCAGUGGGGAAUUUUGGACAAUGGGAGGAAGUCUGACUCAGCCAUGCCGCGUGCGGGAGGAAGGCCUUCGGGUUGUAAACCUGUUUUGUCAGGGAAGAAACGUUCUGGGUUAAUCCCUCGGGGUAAUGACGGUACCUGAAGAAUAAGCACCGGCUAACUACGUGCCAGCCGCCGCCGUAACAC